AACGCGAAGAACCUUACCAGUCCUUGACAUGUCCACUAUGGGUUUGAGAGAUCAGAUCCUUCACUUCGGGUGGGUGGAACACAGGUGCUGCAUGGCUGUCGUCAGCUCGUGUCGUGAGAUGUUGGGUUAAGUCCCGCAACGAGCGCAACCCUCAUCUUCAGUUGCCCCCGGGUCAGGCCGGGCACUCUGAAGAAACCGCCGGUGACAAGCCGGAGGAAGGCGGGGAUGACGUCAAGUCCUCAUGGCCCUUACGGACUGGGCUACACACGUACUACAAUGGUGGUGACAAUGGGCAGCGAAAGCGCAAGCUGGAGCCAAUCCCCAAAAACCAUCUCAGUUCAGAUUGCACUCUGCAACUCGAGUGCAUGAAGUUGGAAUCGCUAGUAAUCGCAGAUCAGCACGCUGCGGUGAAUACGUUCCCGGGCCUUGUA
rnacentral:rRNA from 1 species